AUUGAACGCUGGCGGUAGGCCUAACACAUGCAAGUCGAGCGGAUGAAGGGAGCUUUCUCCUGUAUUCAGCUGCGGACGGGUGAGUAAUGCCUAGGAAUCUGCCUGGUAUAGGGGGAUAACGUCCGGAAACGGGCGCUAAUACCGCAUACGUCCUGAUGUAGAAAGGGGGGGAUCUUCGGACCUCACGCUAUCAGAUGAGCCUAGGUCGGAUUAGCUAGUUGGUGGGGUAAAGGCCUACCAAGGCGACGAUCCGUAACUGGUCUGAGAGGACGAUCAGUCACACUGGAACUGAGACACGGUCCAGACUCCUACGGGAGGCAGCAGUGGGGAAUAUUGGACAAUGGGCGAAAGCCUGAUCCAGCCAUGCCGCGUGUGUGAAGAAGGUCUUCGGAUUGUAAAGCACUUUAAGUUGGGAGGAAGGGCAGUAAGUUAAUCCAUUGCUGUUUUGACGUUACCAACAGAAUAAGCACCGGCUAACUUCGUG
rnacentral:rRNA from 1 species